ACAUGCAAGUGGUAGGAAGCCGAAAGGUGACCGACCCUUCGGGAGCUUGCACAGGUGCUGCAUGGCUGUCGUCAGCUCGUGUCGUGAGAUGUUCGGUUAAGUCCGCUAACGAGCGCAACCCUCGCUGUGUGUUAUAUGUGUCACACGGGACUGCCGGUCUUAAGCCGGAGGAAGGUGGGGAUGAUGUCAAGUCAGCAUGGCCUUUAUAUCCUGGGCUACACACACGCUACAAUGGCCAACACAAUAGGUUGCUAAGCCGCGAGGUGGCGCCAAUCCAUAAAGUUGGUCUCAGUUCAGAUUGUAGGCUGCAACUCGCCUACAUGAAGUUGGAAUCGCUAGUAAUCGCGGAUCAGCACGCCGCGGUGAAUACGUUCCCGGGCCUU
rnacentral:rRNA from 1 species